UUAAAAAUAAGCUAAAGUAAGCUUUUGGGUUCAUACCCCGAAUAUAAAGAUAAUUUCUUUUUUUUAAA
rnacentral:tRNA from 1 species